rnacentral:rRNA from 1 species
UAGGGAAUCUUCGGCAAUGGACGAAAGUCUGACCGAGCAACGCCGCGUGAGUGAAGAAGGUUUUCGGAUCGUAAAACUCUGUUGUUAGAGAAGAACAAGGACGUUAGUAACUGAACGUCCCCUGACGGUAUCUAACCAGAAAGCCACGGCUAACUACGUGCCAGCAGCCGCGGUAAUACGUAGGUGGCAAGCGUUGUCCGGAUUUAUUGGGCGUAAAGCGAGCGCAGGCGGUUUCUUAAGUCUGAUGUGAAAGCCCCCGGCUCAACCGGGGAGGGUCAGUGGAAACUGGGAGACUUGAGUGCAGAAGAGGAGAGUGGAAUUGCAUGUGUAGCGGUGAAAUGCGUAGAUAUAUGGAGGAACACCAGUGGCGAAGGCGGCUCUCUGGUCUGUAACUGACGCUGAGGCUCGAAAGCGUGGGGAGCAAACAGG